GUAGGUGAACCUGCGGAAGGAUCAUUAUUG
rnacentral:rRNA from 1 species